UACAGAGGUCUCAAGCGUUGCUCGGAAUCACUGGGCGUAAAGGGUGCGUAGGCGGGUCUUUUAAGUCAGGGGUGAAAUCCUGGAGCUCAACUCCAGAACUGCCUUUGAUACUGAGGAUCUUGAGUUCGGGAGAGGUGAGUGGAACUGCGAGUGUAGAGGUGAAAUUCGUAGAUAUUCGCAAGAACACCAGUGGCGAAGGCGGCUCACUGGCCCGAUACUGACGCUGAGGCACGAAAGCGUGGGGAGCAAACAGG
rnacentral:rRNA from 1 species